rnacentral:rRNA from 1 species
AGAAUCAACGCUGGCGGCGUGCCUAACACAUGCAAGUCGCACGAGAAAGGGGAGCAAUCCCUGAGUACAGUGGCGCACGGGUGAGUAACACGUGAAUAAUCUACCUCCGAGUGGGGAAUAACUGAGAGAAAUCUUAGCUAAUACCGCAUAAUACCCACGGGUCAAAGCAGUAAUGCGCUUGGAGAGGAGUUCGCGGCAGAUUAGUUAGUUGGCGGGGUAAUGGCCCACCAAGACGAUGAUCUGUAUCCGGCCUGAGAGGGCGCACGGACACACUGGAACUGAAACACGGUCCAGACUCCUACGGGAGGCAGCAGUGGGGAAUUUUUGCGCAAUGGGGGAAACCCUGACGCAGCAACGCCGCGUGGAGGAUGAAGCCCCUUGGGGUGUAAACUCCUUUCGAUCGGGAAGAUAAUGACGGUACCGAUAUAAGAAGCCCCGGCUAACUUCGCGCCAGCAGCCGC